AGCCACCACGUCGGAUCUUGGCUGUGUGACCUUAAGCAUGUUACUUCACCUCUCUGUGCCUCAGUUUCCUUAAUUGAAAAAUGAUAAUAGUCUCCAACUUUGAGGGUGAUUGUGAGGCCUGGAUAAAAUAAUAUGUGUAAAGCACUUAGAACAGUGGCCGGCAUAGAGGAAGAUGAUUACCUUUGUCAUGAUUACUGUUUGUCAGGACUGUUUGAAAGGACUCUGAGCGGAAGCUCUCUAUCUGGCUGCCUCCCUGUCCUGCAAGCCGCUCCCUGUUCACCAUUCUCCUCCUGGUUAAGUACGGGCAUCUGUGUCCCAAGAGAGGGCUCCACUGCAGACCCUGACCACCAGCAUACCUGCCCACAGAGGCCGAAAAUGUGGUAGUCAGCUGCUUCUCUGAAAUUCCAGCCCGGGAGAGGUAAACUAAGGAAAUGCCAUCCUCCUGAGUGUCCUGAACUGUCAUCUGUCCCAGCGAAUGUCUGACAUUAAGGAUCUACCCAUCUCAAAGCCGUCACUUGCUGUAUUGCCUGGGGCUGGAAACUGAGCUUCCUAGCAAGUCUCUGAUGUGUGUUAGGUGUUACUGUUACCAUUUCAUGGAUGAGCAGACUGUGGCUGGAGGAGACCAGGUACCUAAAGGGGAGGAGAAUUUCAGUGUUUAAUUCUUAGUUCUCUGUUCAGCCCUAGUUCUUAGUGUUCUUUGUACGGUACUCCGCACUGCUCAGCUCUCCCAGCAGAGGCAAUAAAGACGUCCAAACCCAUAUACAGUGUGUAAAAAAGAAGAUCCAGGAUCUCUGGAGGCCUGGAGGAAGCCAAAGUGACCCUUUUGUACUCUGUCAUGCUUCCUAUAAACUGCUUCAAAUUGAAUCCCAACGCCAGCCUGCGAUCAUGUUUUCAAAAUACUGCCGAGGCUUUGAAACUCUCUUUGCUACAUAUGAUGUGCUUCCCAGGCACAUAGCAGGUGCUCAGCAAAGGAGUCAUGGAACUAGAGGGUUGGCCCAGUAGCUCUGAUGGAGCCCCAGCUCUGGGCACUGGCGAGCAUUUCCUCUCCACUUAGGCAGGGAGAUGACAGCCCUCUUGCCAGCUGCAGGGGGAGGUCUUCCGUUACAGGAUUAACUGGCGCCUGCACUUUUGCUGGAAACUUGUGGGAAGUGGCUGAGAGCUCUCCAGUGCUUAAGAAGUGGGUUUUGGAAAACAAACAAGAUCUUGCCUACGCAGGAAUAGGAAUGAAGCAAAGGUUAGACAUGGCUUGGGGGAGUUUUUUUCUUUUUUUUUCUUUUUUUGGUUUGACUGAAUAACAGGCUAGAAGGAACUCUCAAAGUUCAAAGUGGGCCUUAGACCCUUUAAAAGUAGGUCCAUAAACUUGUGUAGAGGACAGUGAGUUCUCUGUUUAGAGUAAAUUUAAUGACAACUAUCAUUUGUAAAAGGCAUCAUAAUUUACAAAGCCCUUUCCACAUGCACUGUAUGUGUAUAUAAAUACUAUAUGUGACCUUCCCCUUUAAGAUUAUUUAUCCCACGAUUUGAGGGCGCCUAGACAAUUUUUAAAAAAAGAUUUUUUUUUUAAAGAUGCAUGGUCUCUUCAUUUUGCCUGUAGUAUAGUGGAAAUAACACAGGCAGGCUUCCAGUCUCUGGGCCUCAGUUUACCCAGCUGCAAAACAAGGACAAUAGGAGAGAUGGACCCAGGGAAGGUUUGCCUCUUACGGGCUCAAGAGCCUACUGGGAGUGCAGAGAGUGGGAGCUGAGUUGACUCUGAACAUAUUGGGCCAUUCAAGGGUGCCCAGCACAGGUGGUGGGGACCCCAGACAUCAGCGGCAGGGAGGUCCCCUUCAGAUGCUGCCAGCUCAGAGGAUACAGAGCUGUCUCUUCCUGAAGCCAGAUGGGGAGGCUGAGGCCCACGGGCCCAUGAGCAGCUGGGCUGUGUACCCAUCUGCCCUCCUACACCUGGUUCUCAAGGUGAUCUGCCUGUGUCCCUGUCCCCGACUGUGCUAAUUCUUGAGUGUAGUCCCUGAGUGGUGAAUAGGAUUUCCCUCCAUGAAUUAGAGCAGCGGUGUGCUUUCUGCCUGAGGCUCCAGCGAGGACUCUGAUCCUGUGUCCCCUCUGCUCUCUCCCCGUGUGGGGCUCUGCCUCUUCCUCUUCCUUUGUGUCCUCCUCUGUCCUCUUCCUGCCCUCAUUCAUCUUUUCUUUCUCUUCUUCCCUCCUCUGUAAUCCCAUGGAGCUGACUGGUUUUUAACUGUAUUUUAUGUUUCUUGUUCCUUACAUCAAACAUGAAUUCAUUAAAUGGUUUCAUAGUCAAGGGAGAACAUCUCUAAGAUUGCUUUAUUUGUGAAUUAUGUGUGCUUCAGUUAAUAUUUUUUUCUAAAUAAUUAGUGAAGCAUCCUGGCCAGGGUUGUUUCUAGGGGUGUGGUCCUGGGUCUCCAUCCUUACAAUGGGGAGAGCAACACUUCCCCCUCUGGGGCAGCAGUGAGCAAAUGAGGGACUGAAUGCGUCCAGACAGCGGCAGGCCCUGGCCCUUCUACUUGAGUUACCACAAGGAUAUGUCACUUGUUACUGAGUGGUCCCAGGCAGCGGCCUCAGCUUUUCUGGAACUCACUUGAGAUGGACUCAGACGCUGUGGUUUUGAAGGCUUUGUUGUAGCGGUUCCUUGGGCUGGAAUCAGCCCUGUGUCAGCAGCUGCUGGUGGAGGUGACUGGGGGUUCCCGAGAGUGGAUGAGUUGUCCGUAUCUGUCUUACUUCUCGGCUAUCUUGCUGGUGGCUGGCAGCUGCCUCCCUGAAAGCCCAGGUUGACUCCCUGCUGUCUGUGUGGGUGGGCUUCCCAGGGCACCCUCCCUGGGCUUUCCCUCCACCUUUCUUCAGUCUCGUCUUUUGCCCUUGUUCCCUGGGGUAGGCGGGUUGUUGAUAGGGAGGGGCAGUUCCCGGGGUGGGGUGGGGAAGGAAAAGCUUGAACUGCUAGGACCCCAGAGGUUGUCUGUGACCCUCUCUGCCCACUGUUCAGUGUUGCUUUUCCUCCUCCUCCUCCUCCCAUCCAUAUAUGUGGGCAAUUCCCUCCUUUUUUCUCCAGCUUUUUGCUGUUCAUUAUGGGAGUCACAAGCCACGUGGCUAGGGCACUUGAAAUGUGGUAAGUCCGCAUUGAGCUGCGCUGUACAUAUAAAAUACUCACCUCAUUUUAAAGGCUUAGUAUAAAAAAUGAUUAUCAAAUAUUUUAUCGAUACUUUUUAUAUUGAUUACGUGUUGCAAUGAUAAUAUUUUGCAUAUAAUAGAUUAGAAUAUUGAAAUUAACUUCCUAUUUCUUGUCACUUUUUUAGAAAAAAUGUGGCUAUCAGAAAAUUUAAAAUUGCACGUGUGGCUCACCUUAUAUUUCUAUUGCAGUGAUUCUUAACUGGUGGCUGUUUUGCCUUCCAGGGACGUUUGAUAAUAUUUGAAGACUUUUUUUUAUUGUCAUGCUGUUGGGAGAGUGGCGUGGUUGGCACGAGCACCUAGUUGGAAGAGGCCGGGGAAGCUGCUGAACAUCCUACAAUGCACAGGAUAACACCCUACAACCAAAAUUAUCUGGUCCCAAAUGUAGUAGUGCUGAGGUUGAGAAACCCAGUUCUAUUGUAUAGCACUGUUUUACUCUCACUUUUGAUGAACCAAUCUUCUCUCAUUGACAAUGACACUAAAAUUGGAGGGCUUAGGGCACAGUAGAAAGAGCAUAAUGGCCAGAGUCAGAUACCUGUGACCCUGGGCAGGUUAUGUAACAUUUCAGAGCCUCCACUUCCUCAUCUGUGAAAUGGACGCAAUGAUACCUACUUUAUAGGAUCCUUGUUAGGACUCAAUGAAAUUGAACAUAGCAUACCUGACACAUGGUAGACCUCCACUCAGUAGAAAUUAGCAUUAUUGUUAAAAUUUGUGUCACUAUGCGGACUCUCUGGAUCAACUAUUAGGAUUUCUACACAUCUUUUAGAUUUUCAAUGAGUACCUUACACUCAACAAAUAGAAAACUAAAUUCAUAAUUUUACACUUCCUCUCCCCUCCCACUCCCUAAAUUUAUUCUUCUUUCUGAUUUUCAGUCUUAGAGCACAGUAUCACCAUUCUCCCACUCUGAGAACCUGAGUCAGUUUCACUUCUUCCUUCUACCCUCCAGCCUGAAUUUGUAAUCUCUUAACCUUUAUACGUUAACUGUGUUUCAUCCAACCCCUCCUUUACAUUCCUGCCUAGUGGGACCUCUGCAUCUGCUGUAAGUGGCUUCCUUCCAGGUCCUUGCCUCUACUCUUUCCCAGUCCCCACUAUGUGUAAAGUUCUCUUGCUCAGGAACCUUGAUGUUUUUUUUGUUUUGUUUUUGUUUUUGUUUUUGCUAAAGUGCGAGUACCUAUGGUCAGAAAAUGUGACAUAUCCAUCUGUAUUUCCCUAGCACCAGAUAUGAUGCCUAGAAAAUAGCUGUUCAUUCAGUGUUUUUUGAAUGAAUGCAUAGAUAAAUAAAUGAUAGAUAUCCUUUUCCCGUUGGUACAUGGGUAGGAUCAGGUAUUACAGGGAGCUAGGGUAGCAGUUUCCAAAUGCCCUAUUUCCCUUUAAUAGUUUUGCAGGGUUUAAAUUACAUAUUCCCUAACCUACCUUAUCUCACCACCCCCACUACCUCCACCACCUUCCUGAUUUUGAGCUGGAGACUCAGUUUGUUUUCUCUGAAAGGGUUACAGCGAUGAUGCAUUAGACCUGGGUCCCGGAAAUCCUGCCUUCCAUAUGUGGGCUUCCGCAGGCAGCCUGAGCCAGCUAUGGCUCACGUUCUGCAAGCCCAGGCCUGCCACCAGAGGGAAAGUGCCCUAGAUGCCCAGGCAUGCCUUCCUCUUGGUGGCCAAAGAUUUCCCAGGCAGCUCCCAGCAGGCUGUGAGGGGAGGCUUUCCAGAAAUUUGCCCUUAAAGAUGCUCUGAUAGAGAAAACAUAACAUGUUCUUUGGCAGGUUGUGGGCAUCUAUCAUACAGUAAUCAUGGGCAGUCGGGAUGGUGUAGGAUUGGAGCCUCCCGAUGUCUAGACACUUUGGUCUGUUCACAGUUUCAAAAACAUUUUAAUUACAAACCACUUUAUGGUGUAAGGUGACCCACAUGGAGUUAUCAAGAACUUCUGAGUAAGUUUGCUAACUUCUUUUGUGGCAGCUGCAAGUUGACUCAAAACUACAUUCCGCUGGUGAGUAUGGGUUGUCUGGCCUGGAAGACAUGUGUGAGUUGCUCUAAGGGGCUCGCUGUUCUCUUACUAUCUGGAAGGCCUCAAAGUUCCUCUGGUGGGAAAGAUUUUCUUCUGCAAACACCCUGGGAUUUGUCUCUUGAAGAAUCAGGGUUUUGGACUCUCCUACGUAACCAUCUUCUGUGGGUUGGAUAUCAGAUGUGUAUCCAACCCCCAGAAGAUGGAUCAAGGUGCAGUUGACUAAAUGGCUUUUCUCUUGGGAAACUUGAGGAUUUUCUGUCACCUCUAACUGGCUUUGUGACAUCUGAAGUUGUUUCCUGUAUCUGAAGCUACUUAUUUCAUUGGUAAAGGUAGUAAAACUCCCACCUAUUUUCAGCUUUGAUUCCUUUUCUCCCCUGACCCCAAAACUUGUGCUUCAGAAUAAGUUGUUUCACAGACAAGGUUGCAUAUGUUAGGUGACAAUAUCUUCUCUCCAUUUUUGUAAAGUGUAAAGUCACAUCACUGCCUGUCAGCAUUUCUAAUCAGCCACAGAUAAUUUGUGUUCACACUAAAUUGUCACAAUCCCAUGCAAAAUUAAGCAAGAGUGGUGAUUAAUAGCAUGAGUCCAGAGUUGAACAGAUUUGGGUUUGAAACUUAGCUCUGCCUUUUACCAGAUAAACAUCUUUAAGUAGCAGGACUUCAACUUCAAUGUCCUCACCUGAAAUCAAGAGAUAAAAUAGUUCCUACCUUAUAAGUUAGUUUAUCCCUUAUUUAAUAAGAUAAUAUAUGUAAAGCCCCAAGACAGUAUCUUCUUAAAUAUAGACUAUUAUAUUUCAGUUAGCCUCAGUGUGCAUCCUGAUUUGGGGUAAAGGUAUGAUUUGAUUUGAUUUGAUUGACUGAUUGAUUUGGCAAAUAUUUAUCAGUACCUGCUGAGGAUGAGGGACUGCUCUAGCCUCUGGGGAUACAGCUAUGAAUCAGAGACAAGGCCUCUGCUUUAGUGGAACUUAUGUUCUAGAGGGAGACAAACAAAGUGAACUAUUUAACAAA
rnacentral:lncRNA from 1 species